GUGCAGCAGGCGAGAAACCUCCGCAAUGCGCGCAAGCGCGACGGGGCCAUCCCGAGUGCCGCUCGCUGAGGGCGGCUUUUCUCCGGUGUAAGUAGCCGGAGGAAUAAGGAGAGGGCAAGUCUGGUGUCAGCCGCCCGCGGUAAUACCGAGCUCUCCGAGUGGUGGGGACGAUUAUUGGGCCUAAAGCGUCCGUAGCCGGCCUGACAAGUCUCCCGUUAAAUCCAGCGGCCUAACCGCUGGGCUGCGGGAGAUACUGUCAAGCUUGGGGGCGGGAGAGGCCAGCGGUAUCCCCGGGGUAGGGGUGAAAUCCGUUAAUCCCGGGAGGACCACCAGUGGCGAAGGCGGCCGGCCAGAACGCGCCCGACGGUGAGGGACGAAAGCUGGGGGAGCGGAACCGGAUUAGAUACCCCU
rnacentral:rRNA from 1 species